AGCAGCCGCGGUAAUUCCAGCUCCAAUAGCGUAUAUUAAAGUUGUUGCAGUUAAAAAGCUCGUAGUUGAAUUUCGGGAUUAGUAAGUUGGUCGUGCCUCUGGUAUGUACUGGCUUUACUGGUUCCUCCUUCUUGAAGAACUGUAAUGUCAUUAAUUUGGUGUUGCAGGGAAACAGGACUGUUACUUUGAAAAAAUUAGAGUGUUUAAAGCAGGCUAACGCUUGAAUACAUUAGCAUGGAAUAAUGAAAUAGGACGUUUGAUUCUAUUUUGUUGGUUUCUAGGAUUGACGUAAUGAUUAAUAGGGAUAGUUGGGGGCAUUAGUAUUCAAUUGUCAGAGGUGAAAUUCUUGGAUUUAUUGAAGACUAACUACUGCGAAAGCAUUUGCCAAGGAUGUUUUCAUUAAUCAAGAACGAAAGUUAGGGGAUCGAAGACGAUCAGAUACCGUCGUAGUCUUAACCAUAAACUAUGCCGACUAGGGAUCGGAUGAUGUUAAUUUUUUAAUGUACUCAUUCGGCGCCUU
rnacentral:rRNA from 1 species